UAGUCCACGCCGUAAACGAUGGAUACUAGAUGUUCGGGUUUCGGCCUGAGUGUCUAAGCGAAAGCGAUAAGUAUCCCACCUGGGGAGUACGUUCGCAAGGAUGAAACUCAAAGGAAUUGACGGGGCCCGCACAAGCGGUGGAGCAUGUGGUUUAAUUCGACGCAACGCGAAGAACCUUACCUGGAUUUGACAUCCCGGGAAUCCUAUCGAAAGACUGGAGUGCCCUUCGGGGGCCCGGAGACAGGUGCUGCAUGGCUGUCGUCAACUCGUGUCGUGAGAUGUUGGGUUAAGUCCCGCAACGAGCGCAACCCUUGUCCUUAGUUGCCAGCACAUUAUGGUGGGAACUCUAAGGAGACUGCCGGUGACAAACCGGAGGAAGGUGGGGAUGACGUCAAGUCAUCAUGGGCCCUUAUGGGGCUGGGGGCUACACACGUGCUACAAUGGGCCGGCACAGAGAGCAGCGAACCCGCGAGGGGAA
rnacentral:rRNA from 1 species